rnacentral:rRNA from 1 species
GACGAACGCUGGCGGCGUGCUUAACACAUGCAAGUCGAACGGCAAGGCCCUGCUUUUGUGGUGUGCUCGAGUGGCGAACGGGUGAGUAACACGUGAGUAACCUGCCCUUGACUUUGGGAUAACUUCAGGAAACUGGGGCUAAUACCGUAUAGGAGCUCCUGCUGCAUGGUGGGGGUUGGAAAGUUUCGGCGGGUGGGGAUGGACUCGCGGCUUAUCAGCUUGUUGGUGGGGUAGUGGCUUACCAAGGCUUUGACGGGUAGCCGGCCUGAGAGGGUGACCGGCCACAUUGGGACUGAGAUACGGCCCAGACUCCUACGGGAGGCAGCAGUGGGGAAUAUUGCACAAUGGGCGGAAGCCUGAUGCAGCAACGCCGCGUGCGGGAUGACGGCCUUCGGGUUGUAAACCGCUUUCGCCUGUGACGAAGCGUGAGUGACGGUAAUGGGUAAAGAAGCACCGGCUAACUACGUG